UUAGCUCAUAUUUGUAUGGAAUGGGAUCGUUUGCGUACGUUUACCGCUAGGGGCGCUGUUCCAACUGCAUACAAAAUUGGCUUA
rnacentral:pre_miRNA from 1 species